GCCAGGUGUGGUGGCGUGCACCUAUAAUCCCAGCUACCUGGGAGGCUGAGGUGGGAGGAUUGCCUGAGCCCAGGAGUUGGAGGGGGCAGUGAGCCAUGAUUGUAUCACUGCACUCUAGCCUGGGCAACAGAGUGAGACCCUGUCUCAA
rnacentral:SRP_RNA from 1 species